GUAGGUGGCAAGCGUUGUCCGGAAUUAUUGGGCGUAAAGCGCGCGCAGGCGGUUCUUUAAGUCUGAUGUGAAAGCCCACGGCUCAACCGUGGAGGGUCAUUGGAAACUGGAGAACUUGAGUACAGAAGAGGAAAGCGGAAUUCCACGUGUAGCGGUGAAAUGCGUAGAGAUGUGGAGGAACACCAGUGGCGAAGGCGGCUUUCUGGUCUGUAACUGACGCUGAGGCGCGAAAGCGUGGGGAGCAAACAGGAUUAGAUACCCUGGUAGUCCACGCCGUAAACGAUGAGUGCUAAGUGUUAGGGGGGUUUUCCGCCCCCCUUAGUGCUGCAGCUAACGCAUUAAGCACUCCGCCUGGGAGUACGGCCGUAAGGCUG
rnacentral:rRNA from 1 species